rnacentral:rRNA from 1 species
GUGGAUUAGAUACCCUAGUAGUCCACGCCGUAAACGAUGGAUGCUAGCCGUCGGCAAGCUUGCUUGUCGGUGGCGCAGCUAACGCAUUAAGCAUCCCGCCUGGGGAGUACGGCCGCAAGGUUAAAACUCAAAGGAAUUGACGGGGGCCCGCACAAGCGGUGGAGCAUGUGGUUUAAUUCGACGCAACGCGAAGAACCUUACCAGCCCUUGACAUGUCCGGACGGUUUCCAGAGAUGGAUUCCUCCUAGCAAGAGGUCGGAACACAGGUGCUGCAUGGUGGUCGUCAGCU